UAUUUAUUGUCUUAAACAAGAAGCAAAAUAUGCCAGUUUCAUCAAUAAUCACAGUUGUGUGUCAGAGACAGACCAUGUGAAUAAAAUCUGUGAAUUUUUAAUUACUACUACAAACUUUGGAAUUAUUUUUGUAUCACUUUACAAGCUCAAAAUCUUAUUGACCCUUAAUGACCUCUUACAUGCUUCUGUCUAUUGUUUUCCAAUGUUCCAAUUAUACACAACUCCAUCUCAGAAAUGUUCUGUGACGCCCUCUUUUGUUCAGGCUCUAACAAAGUUUUGCUUCUCAAGAAGUCACAGCCGAUCCUCCCAUAUAAGGCGCAGCAGCACCACAGCUGCUCACACUACAUCACACAAAGUGAAAAAGCAAUGGGUUUACGUAUGGCUGGUCUGUCAACAGCUGCCACUGCAGGCGUGGCCGGAGCUGGAGGAGCAGCAGGAGGACUGCUGGCUCUGCUCAUCUGAGACCAAGCUGAAGAUCAUGAAGGAAUCAAAUACAAGGAAGAAUACAUUUACUUUUGCCAAAUAGAAACAACUGCAACUUACAUUAAUGAAGUAGAUAAUUUACUGAAGGAGAAGUUAUGUGCAUUUAACUGAAAUGUGAGGACAAAAACAUGUUUUGUUUGUCUGCAAAACACGUUUACAUUGUCGAGUGCACCAGCUUUCAUAUAUGGCAAUAAAAUGCAUUUGAAAAGUU